rnacentral:rRNA from 1 species
GUCUACAGCCAUGCCACCCUGAACAAGUCCAAUCCCGUCUGAUCUCGGAAGCUAAACAGGGUCGAGCCUGGUUAGUACAUGGAUGGGAGACCACCUAGGAAGAUGAGGCGCUGUAGGCG